rnacentral:rRNA from 1 species
CUGCGGAAGGAUCAUUAUAGUAUAAACGGAGGCAUCCGGGCUGUCGCCGUCCUCAAGGACGUGCACGCUCAGAGUGCUCUCUCACAAUCCAUCUCACCCCUUUGUGCAUCACCGCGUGAGGCCCUUCUCUUUUUGGCUCGUUCCGGAAAGGGGGGGGGUUCACGUUUUUACAAGAACGUCCCAUUAAUGCAUGUGUAGAAUGUCUUACAUUUUGCGGUAACACGCAAUCAAUACAACUUUCAACAACGGAUCUCUUGGCUCUCGCAUCGAUGAAGAACGCAGCGAAAUGCGAUACGUAAUGUGAAUUGCAGAAUUCAGUGAAUCAUCGAAUCUUUGAACGCACCUUGCACCCCUUGGUAUUCCGAGGGGUGCACCCGUUUGAGUGUCGUGAACGCCCUCAACCUCCUCGGUUUAUCGACCAAGGAAGGCUUGGACUUUGGAGGUUUUUCUUUGCUGGCCUCGUUCCGAAGCCGGCUCCUCCUAAAUGAAUUAGUGGGGUCUGUCGUGCCGAUCCUCGACGUGAUAAGUACGCUUCUACGUCUUGGCGUCGGCCCGUAAUCCUGCUUCAAAUCGUCUUUGAACAAAGACACUCGUUCGAGUCUUGACUCGACCUUAUGAACCUUGACCUCAAAUCGGGUGAGACUACCCGCUGAACUUAA